rnacentral:rRNA from 1 species
CCUGCGGAAGGAUCAUUGUCGAACCUUGCUGGUAGGCUGAUUUGAACUUGUAGAUAAACAAGACAGUAGUGCUGGAUCUUGCUGCGAAGUUUCAGCCUCAACAAAAAAAAAAUACCGGCGCAAUUAGUGCCAAGGAUAUGGUAUCGAGCAUGUCAGCUUGCAAUGUUUUUUGGAGCACGUGCAGGAUGUGUGUUUAGUAGAAAUGACUCUUGGCAAUGGAUAUCUUGGCUCUUGCAUCGAUGAAGAACGUAGCGAAAUGCGAUACUUGGUGUGAAUUGCAGAAUCCCGUGAACCAUCGAAUCUUUGAACGCAAGUUGCGCCGGAAGCCAACUUGGUGGACGGCUCGUUUGCUUGGGAGUCAAAUGUAGCUUCGUUCCUCCUUUGGGUGAGGGACUGGAUUAUGGCCUCCCAGGCUAAGGUUUGGCGUGGUUGGCUUAAAUUCUUGUCCUUGUAGAUCAAUGAUUUCUUGGUAUGUGGUGGUUUGCGCCUAGUGUGCAAAAGACAUGCGUUGAAAGCGUUGAUUGUGGGAGUUAGACCCUCUGAGUUUGCUCUUCGAUUGGGACCCCAAGUCAAGCGGGACUAC